rnacentral:rRNA from 1 species
AUUGAACGCUGGCGGCAGGCCUAACACAUGCAAGUCGAGCGGAGCGGCGGAAGGGUGAGUAAUGCCUAGGAAUCUGCCUGGUAGUGGGGGAUAACGUCCGGAAACGGGAGCUAAUACCGCAUACUAUCAGAAGAGGCUGGGUCGGAUUAGGUGUUUGGUGGGGUAAAGGCCUACCAGGACGACGAUCCGUAACUGGUCUGAGAGGAUGAUCAGCCACACUGGAACUGAGACACGGUCCAGACUCCUACGGGAGGCAGCAGUGGGGAAUAUUGGACAAUGGGCGAAAGCCUGAUCCAGCCAUGCCGCGUGUGUGAAGAAGGUCUUCGGAUUGUAAAGCACUUUAGGUUGGGAGGCGUUACCAACAGAAUAAGCACCGGCUAACUUCGUGCCAGCAGCCGCGGUAAUAC